rnacentral:rRNA from 1 species
UACGAAGGGGGCUAGCGUUGCUCGGAAUUACUGGGCGUAAAGGGCGCGUAGGCGGCCUACUAAGUCGGACGUGAAAUCCCUCGGCUCAACCGGGGAACUGCGUCCGAUACUGGUGGGCUCGAAUCCGGGAGAGGGAUGUGGAAUUCCAGGUGUAGCGGUGAAAUUCGUAGAUAUUGGGAAGAACACCGAUGGCGAAGGCAGCCAUCUGGACCGACACUGACGCUGAGGCGCGAAAGCGUGGGGAGCAAACAGG